GCAAGACGUCGCUUCUGUCGUGAUCACGCAGCUGUGUGCUGUGACCAGACACUGCGACCCCUUCCAUGCUGCCCUUCACCCGGCCCCUUCCCAUCUGGCCCCAGUACCUCCUCCAGGCUCUGCUCUGGGCUUCAAGGAGGACACGUCUGCCUGUCCAGGGGUCCUCGUUGUUUGACAGAAUACAAAUUCGGCGCUCAGGUCAGCUUGCCCUGUUUAAGGUAACUUAUUAUCUCUUCGGUCGGCUAAGUACACCCCAGGCUGUUUCUCAAGCAGUGUGCAUUUCGUGGUCAGGGUGGUCUUUGACGCUGACAGUCUCCGCAAGAGUGAAGGCAAUUAUGGCAGCUUAGCAUGGCCUGACUUCACACCCAGGUAACAUCCAUGUCAGUGCGUGUAAUGGCAACAGUGCUGUGUCACGCCUGUGAGAUUGCGUGUGUGGGAAACACCUGUUUCUGCACCUUGGAGCCAGAAGUGAGGGCUCAGAGAGGACAGAUGGUGGCAACAGAAGGCAGAUGAUGGUAAGAGGAACCGGUCACCAGGAGUGCCAACACCCCAGCAGGGGUGAGGUGGGGGCACUCUGGGUUGGAAGAACCCCUGAACUAGGUGUCACGACCACCACGCUGACUGACCCCUUCCCUCCAGCUGUGACAUAGAGAGAAACCAGGUGAUGCAUCUCAAGGCCUUGAGAACAAAGACUGGUGGCAAUGCAGACUGUGGAGACAAUUAGCAACAAAGCGGGAGAAGGUUCCAGCAAGUCACGUAUCCGAUGAGCAUUCUGAGAUCCAAAAUAUAUAAAAAGCUUCUGGCUACCCAAAAACUAAAGACAAACAACCCACUUAAAAAUGAGCAAAGAACCUGGAAGACAUUUUUUCAAAGGUCCAAACUGUCCACAUGGACACGAGAAGAUGCUGGGCAGCAUGUUUCAUUACAGAAACGCAAGUCAAACCCACGGUGAGAUACCGCUGCCGUGAGAUGACCAGAAUCUCUGUCAAAGGAAAGUAACACCUGUUGGUAAGGAUGUGGAGAAAGUGGGGUGCUCAUAUGUGGCUGGGGGAGCGUGCAGUGGAGCAGUUGUGUAGGAAACAGCUGGGAUGUGUGCCUGCAACCCCUCCACGGGCCACACGCUCCCAAGAACCCAACACAUGAACGUACACAGCAGCCAGCCAGUGGAGACAACACAGUCACACACCUACAUAAGGGCACAGGGCAGGAGGACAGGGUGUCCCCGCUGCCCUGGGGGGUUACCUGAAGAUCACCUGGGGUCCCUCCAGGCGGUCAAAGAUGGUGAAACCAGAAGUGCUGUAAGUGCCACUGAAGUGCACACUAAAAACGGCUACACGUCCGGGACCUGUCCUCCACAAAGCCAUUCCCAUGCUGGACAAAAGAACACCCUUGCCCUAAGAGGGAACAACCCAGAGGGCAAAAGUGUUGGGCCUGCCAAGAUGACCUCAGAUGUGUCACCUGUGGAAUGUUCUGGAAGACAGACUUCUUCAUGACAAGCCUGUAAGGACAGAGGUGGCUGGAAGGUGCAUGGGAUGGGGAAGUGGGGCUUAUGCAGGGACUUAAAGAAAGAUGUAAUAAAUUAUUUCUAAAGGCCACAGGCUGUUGUGUUCACUGAUUCGGGCACAGGAGAGGGCAGAGCUCCACCAGGCCUCCAGCCGCGAGAAAAGAGAAACAGCUGCGGGGUCCCAGACGCACCCAACUUUUGCGGACUGCUGUCCCGACACAUCCCAGGCCAUGGGGCCUGCCCACCCUGGGGCCAGAGCAAGGCUGCUUCAGGCCCAGUGGGCUGCGGCACCCGAGACAACCCAGAGAUCCCUGCCGAGCUCAAGUCGUUCAAACUCCGGAGUCAUCUCUAACACUGUUCUUGGUCUGAGCAGGCAGCAGACCGGCCAGCUUGCAAGCGGGCUGCCCUGGGAGCCCCGCAAGGAGCCAGACCAGACUGACAUACACAGGAUGCGUUCUGAACUUUGUUGAAAUAGUGAAUAAAAGAACUUUCAGGAGAGAGACCGACUCUGACUUCACCUCCCCAUUCAGAUCACCCAAGCCCCUCCCUGGUGUGGGACUUCCGAACAGCCCGCCCCCAAUCCUCAAAAUCGGGAUGAAGGGUGGAUCGCACAGGUCACAAGGCCCCCCACAACCUGAGCAGCCCGGGGCACCACGUUCGGUGCAUGAUGCCAUCUCCGAGUGGAACGGGGGCCCAGAGCUACGGGGUCAAGCCGGCAGGUCGGUGGCCCUCAAACUUGCUGUUCUCGGAGGACCGAGCAGAGCACUGACUUCUUCCUUUCGGGGCUUGACACUCGGACCCUCUCCCCAUCCAGGGUCUAGUAGGGGUGCAAGAAACAAACAGCAAAGGCCACGUCUGAGGACCGGCUUCCAGUGGAAGGGGUGUGUUGCUCUGGGUCCUCAAGAAAUCACCAGUCCAGCCCGCGCAGGAGGCCAGAGUCAGAGCCCAGACUGCAGCCCCCAGGUCCUCCACGCCCUCACUCGCCACAGCAAGGGCAAAGCCGUGUCCCCCCAUGACGAGCGCACCCGGCACAGGGAGUGACCGA